rnacentral:rRNA from 1 species
UGCCAGCCGCCGCGGUAAUACGGAGGGGGCUAGCGUUGUUCGGAAUUACUGGGCGUAAAGCGCACGUAGGCGGACUUUUAAGUCAGAUGUGAAAUCCCAAGGCUCAACCUUGGAACUGCAUUUGAAACUGGGAGUCUAGAGAUCAGGAGAGGUUAGUGGAAUACCGAGUGUAGAGGUGAAAUUCGUAGAUAUCAGGAGGAACACCUGUGGCGAAGGCGGCCACCUGGACGGGUAUUGACGCUGAGACGCGAAAGCGUGGGUAGCAGACAGGAUUAGAUA